rnacentral:tRNA from 1 species
AGGGAUGUGGCUCAGUUGGUAGGGUGUUUGCCUAGCAUGCACAAAGCUCUGGGUUCAAUCCCCAGUGCCACAU